rnacentral:lncRNA from 1 species
AUGCUCAACAUGGGGGCUGUGCUGCUGUUACUAAUUGGUGUGACUGAAGGUGUGAAGACCUUCUGCGACGCCACAGAGCCACACAUCACGACCCAGUGCUUUGGCUCUCUGGGAGGAACCGUGGAGGUCGUGCUGCCAACUAGGACCUCACAAGAUGAUUACUACAGACUGAAGAAAAACAAUGUUAUGAUUUUUCACAACCGCAGUGAGACAGCAGACAGCAGAUAUUCAUUUAUUGUCAGUACUGGAAUAUUUACUAUAAAGGGCGUCAACAUGAAAGACACUGGUGAAUACUCAAUGGAAGUACAUGAUGCAGAUGGGAAGCAAGUAGCAUAUACUAAAUGUUAUUUAACCAUUGAAGAAUCCCGCAUCCCGUUCAUCGCUCGUUCUCUGACGGUGGUGCUGCUGCUCCUAGCAGCAUUGGGAGUCUACUGGGCACUAAAGAAGAAGAAAACCUCCAGACCUCGAGACAUCGCGCUGUCCUCCAUGGCAGUAGAUGAUGAUGUGCUGUACGUUAACGUCUCCGGGGCGACCGGGAGGGCAGGGGGAGAGUGAGGGGGAGUACGGGGCGGUCAGGGUGGCUACAGGCCCCAGGCGGACGCUGGAGACCAAUGUGGACGAGUGUGUGUACGCUCAGCCCCGGAGGACGAGGCCCUGAGAGCUGUGAACACCCAGAAGGACCCGUAGACAGCGCUUUAGCCAGAGGGCCAGCAGCCCGUUGACCUUUGACCUGCCAGGGACACUUCUCUCUCUGAAUCUGAUAAUGGCAAGAUCAUUUAUUUUUAUAAAUUAACUUUUUCCACUGUUGUUGUUGUUGUCCAUACUUGUCGCUCGCUAUUAGAAAUAGCCUGUUAUACUAUUAUGCACAUUUAACUUUUGCAUCAUUAUACCAAGUAUUUAUAUUAUACUAUUCUGCAUGUUUAACUAUUCUAUUAUUAUACCUAUUAUGUAUAUCAUACUAUUCUGCAUGCUUAACUUUGCUGUUUAUUUAGCAUGUGAGCCUUUUUAUGAAAUAAGAUAACCAGCUAUUUAUCAACUGCUUCUUGGCAAAUAAUCAUAUAAUUUUUUGGUUGUAAUUAAAACAUUUAAAUAAAACAAAUUUUCAGCUACUGACCAUGAAUUCUUGGGACCUGUAAAACGAAGCAUUACUUUACUUGAUAUCUGCGUAGGGCAUGAACCAGUACUGCGCCACAUGCUUUACUCCAGAUGCAGUUACUGUGUUUAGCCUCUGGGGGCAGUAUUGCCUGAUUAUGUAGACCUUAAUCGGGAGCAGCAUUUAAUUACCUUAUACGCAGGGACAGGGCCAUCCAUGUUUUUAAUACU